GCCCUCAGCGAGCGGACACGGGCUGCGGGGCGGCUGGCAGGAACACAGGCUGAGGCAGGACAGUUCAGCGGCAGCAUUCAGAGAUAGGGUGGCAGGCAGGUGGGAUAGGUAGGACUUGAUGAGUCCAAGUCCUGUUGAACUGGAGCCUGAGCAAGGGGCAGAAAAAGCUGGUGGGAGGUGAGGAUAGGGAGGCCAGGUAUGUAAGGUGUUUCGGCUUGUUGGUCUAGCUGUGACAUACUGUUAGAAGCAUAGCUUGGCAGACCUGGAUGGGGACAAAACAUUCAGAAAACCUUUCAACCGAGCUCACACUUCCUUGGAUUUACCUGUGAGGCAUGUGUCAUAGAAUCCCCUGAGUUGUAAGGGACCCACAAGUAUCACUGAAGUCUGUCUCCUGGCCUUGCACAAAACCACCCCAAGAAUUACAUCAGGUACCAAUGAUGCCUGUGCUGAACCACUUCCAUUUUAAUUCUCCUUAGGAUACGCCUGUCUGGGAUGAUGUACCCGACUGCAGCAGCUCCGGUCAGAUCUGCAGAGGCACCCUUACAGCACCUGCUGUUGUGCUUCUAGGUGGCCAGUCCAUCUACUGCCAUCAACCAGAUUAUCCUUUCAGCAUCCCUGAGACACAUGAGUUCUGCUUCAGCAGAUUCCCCAAAGGCAGGGGGAAUGCAACUUCGCUGUAAGAGGAUUUCCCAGGAUUAGGAAGUGAUCACAACAUGAAUGAAAUUACUCAGCAGUGUCACCACAUUCGCCAGCUACCAGUGACCUUUGAAAACUUCUGUGUCUGCUUCAGUGACGUGCUCUUGGUUCUGAACAAAACACCUCUGCUGUCAUUCUGGCCAAAACAACAUCACCAACAUUUGACUAUUCAGUAAACCCCUUAAGAGCAUCCUACUUGCCGUCCCUCCCACAGCCAUCCCUCCCUGCCCUUAGUGUCACACCUGGCUUGAUCUCAUUUACCCCUUGCACUCUGGCCAAAACCCUGUGUUUUUAAUUCUUUCCUCUUUUUAAACUGGAAUGCCAGUAAUCAGUCUUCAGUCUACACCAGCUAAUAGUCUAUUCAGACACACUUUCUCCUAGUCCUACUGAAUUUAAAUUUUUUAAAUACAAAAUAGGAUUCUUUUAGAAGGAAAGAGAGAGACAUUCCCUGAAAUCUCAAUAAGAAGGAAUAAAAGUUAAUGCAUGGCAGCCACAAUCUUCUCUGUCUGGUACAAACCCAAAUUAUGAGGUUGGACUUAGAUUCUUCAGGCUGCUGGACUCUUCUGGCAAGGGAGAAUCUUUUAUUUUUAAUGAAUAUUUCAAAAGGCAUGGGGUUUAUUCCAGUGGUGGUUUUAAUGGAAGCAAUAAGAGCAAUAAGACACUGUUUUCAAAAUUGCUUUAAGCACAGUUUCUUCCCACUUGCCAAACCCUAGCAGCCAGAGCUCCACAGCUCUUUUCGUGCCAGCCAUCCUAUAUUCCAGUCACAAACUUGUAACUCAUAAUCCCAUUUAACUUUGAUACUACAACUGACUUGCCCUAUCCCAAUCCUGUGGUUUCAGACCCAGCAAAUUUGACAUUUCACACUUGUAUGGAAAAUAGCUUGAGGGAUAAAAAGUCUAUGGAGGUUGGCUUUGUUCUUCAUUGUUGAUUGGGUGGAGAUGGCUGAAGAAUAACUGGGAAGGGAUUAGGCAUGUUAGCUUCAUGCUGGAUGAGGAAAGCUGUGUCUUGGCAUUUCUUUCAUGGGGAGCUGUGUUCUAGGAUGACUGGGAUCACCCACUGAAUAGAAUAAUUAAUUGUUAAUCUGCUUAUUAACCUCACCCAUCACUUACACAUUUUUUGUCGAAGUUUGAAAGAGUUGUUGUCAAAUCAAUGCCAUUUUUUUCCUGAAAUCCAUCUCAAUUCCAAGUCUAACUUAGAUUUUCUCCAACCUUUGAACUCAGUGAACCUUAGUUAUGAGGACAGGAACAUUUAUAUUGAAACAUGUCACAGCAUGAGCUGGGAGAAAGAAAAAGGAAUGUUUCAAGAGUGCGGUAGCAUGGAGGGCUUUCUACAAAUGAACAGUAACAUUUUGAAGAAGCUAUCUGUAGGAAGAAAGAAGGAAAAGGCUUGCAAUGUGGCAAAAGAACUGACUAUAGUGCAGAACGUGGAGAAAAAGAACCGCCUUUGAAAGAUCAGAGCAAUUUUCAAGGUACAUUUAGACUGAUUUUAGAACCCUACGAAGUCCAUCUUCUCUGAGCACAAACAGAAGGCAAGCACAUAUUGCAGCCAGGAAGGACAAGGAUAGAAAGGACAAUAGUGUCCCAAAAAGAUGGACUGUCCUCAUCCCUCUGUCCCAGGUGAUGCACGGCACUUCAUUCAAGCAGCCUUUGAAGAGGUGGAUGGUACCACUAAAAGCCAGUGGUAGCUGUACUUUGAGCAGAUGAGGUGCCAGGCUUAAAAAUCCUGAAAAAUCAGGAAAGACACACGUCAAACAGAAAAAUCAAUUUUCUGGCAAGCUCCGGCUGUCAUGAUUUAUAUUGGUGAGUACAGAUGGGAUCUUCAUUCAUGGACAUGCUAAUUACACAGACCAUGUGUUUUCUGUGGAGGAGAAUGAUGACUCUCCCAGAAGGAUAACAUGGCUGUAUCAUUCAGUUCUGAAACUGAGCAUAAUGACCUUAUUUCUGGUAUUGCCUGGCUUUUGAAUCCUUAUCUUGGCAACCUUUGUAUUGUUCAUCUAAUCAAAGUUUUACGUGCCAUAAUAUGACUCUGACAGGCUGGAAUGCUAAUUAUUAGGCAGGCUUCUUAAUUUCUUCCUGGUUUUACUGUUCCACACAGAAAAAGCCCAGCCUUGAAACUGGGUUAUGAAAUAUGAUUGACCUAAAAGUACAGUUUUCAGUCAUCAGAUCCCUGGAAUGACUGCUAUGGAGUUUGUCCAAGGUCUGUUAACUCCUGGCUGUCAUGGAUUUUGACCAGCUCCAACACGUCUGAUACUAAGCUGUAUUAGACAGCUUUGUUAAUCACAUUAUAGCCUUUUAUGAAUUUUGAGAUAAAAAACUCAUAAAAAUUAGAAACUUCCACCUUUUUUGGAUAAAAUAAUUUAUUUGUCUUUUAAUAACAAAUAUAAAAGGUUCAGUGAAAAGACAAGAAUUUUUACUCAAUUGUUUUGCACUCUAGAUAUAAAGGCUAAUGGGCAUAAACUGUUUUUAAGGGAGAGGGAAGAGGGAAGUGAACUAAAAAAGUUUUGGUCUGUCCUCAGGAUUUCCCCACCUGGAUUGAGUCGUUGCAUUGCUUCUGCCAACACGGACAGCACUGUCCAUAGCUGUGCUGUUUGCAUUGUGCCUCAUGGGCAGCAGCAGGGUUGCAAUUAGGCUUGAAUCAGGAGCCAUGGAGGGACUUCACCUCAGUUGGGUCCAAUCAGCACCCUGGCUCCCUUGGUAGGCAAUGAAAAGAGGAGGUUUAUUGGAGAGCCUGUUGUUUUAGACACCCAUUUAGGAUGAGACAUGCUCAAGGCUUGGCUGCUCCCACUGACCAGGUCCCUGCUUGCUGUUAUUAUUUAUUAUGCCAUUAUUUAUAAUUGCCAUUAUCAUUUAUUAUGUCAUACCCAGAUGUCACACACAUCUCUUGCACUGUGGCUCCCACAGCCACUCGCACUAGAGCUGCAGCUCCCCUGGCUAAUCCUGCUGGGCUGUACUUGCCAGUCUGGCUGGAAAGUCACUCCAAGUGUAGAAGAUGUCUACAGGGCCUCAGCAUUUAGCUGAGGAGAGCUACACUGGGGAGGCAGUGAGCAGUGGGAGCUGGCACUCCCUCGUUCCCUGCCAGCUCCCCUGGAGCUGCUGGAGCACACUGGAGAGCAGAAUGAGCAGAGUAGUGUGCAGAGCACCACAACAAGCCCAGUGUGGUUUUGUCUUGCUGAGACAUCUGCUGGGAUGUCAGCAGGUAAGAGGGGAGAUUGAAUUCUUUAUCUUCCAGAUCUGUGUCACAUUUCCAUACUAAACUAUUCUCACUCCAAGAACCUUGCUCACAUGUAAUUCUCCCCAUAAUUCAGAUUUUUCUUUCCUCUGUAAAUCACAUGCACUAGAGAGCCCCAUUUAUGAAAACAAAAUCUAUGACAAAACCCUCUUAACACCAGUAAAUCUUCUUUUAAUGAAUUGGGCCUGUAGCUUCAAUUAUGAAGCUGGGAUGUGGCGGCUGCUGAGUGAGCCAUGCCAACAACAACACUGAGGCAGAUCACUGUCUUAAGGGUGUUAGGAGAGUCUUGGGAAAGGCUUGGAUGCUCCCUCUUUCCCUUCAAGCACUUUCACAUCUGCACUGCAUUAUAUCCCCUUCCAGAUGACUUUGCUGGGAUCUCCAGUGUUCUUGGGAGUAUUAGCAUUAUAAGAAAAAAAUCCAUUAAUUUAUUUGUUCAGUCUUCUACAUAAAUAUACCUCUAGUCUAGUGUGAAACAGCUCGCAUAUAUCUGGUUUACUUUGUUUUCAAAUGCACCUAGCUUGGAUUUUCAGUUUUACAGUGUAUGUAAAGAAUUAAACCGUUUAAUUACAUUGUAAACCCUCUGGUUCAUUUUUUAACCCUGUUUCUGUGCACUACAUACCAUAAGACACUACUCUCCUUCAGCAUUACCAGGAAUAAAGCACUUCCAGGUAUCCUGUAGAAGUUGGAUGGGCCACUUACAGGGAGGGGCAGAUCUAGUGACUCCCACAUGGCCAGGUGAUGUGGGAAGGAUGAAGGUGCUAUUUCUAUCCUCUCCCUUGGGAAGGAUGUUUGGGCCAUCCAUAAGACACAGGGUGUUGCCAAGCCCAGUUUUCUCUUUAGCACUGAGAAAUUGCCAGUGGACUGACACAUGGUAGGUGAUGCUCUUGUCCUUUCUGGCUCUGGGAACAGAGAAAGCGGCAAAGCACAAAGGAAAUAUUCACCCUCAAACCCUCCUGCCCUCAUCUGUGACCAAUGUGAUGAUGAAGACACUGGGGUGGAGGGAUCAGAUUGUCUCAAUCACCUACUCUUGUCAUAUUGAUACCAGUAAUAAGGUUUUCCUGCUACCUCCUUCUGUUGGCCUCCCAGGGUAACUCUCUUGGUACCAUAGUAAAACUCAGUAUGGCAGAGGACCUCUUUGACUCUAUUUUAAUUUUUGAAAGUCUGCACUUGUCCUGUUCUCUGUCUUUCUGCACCAGUCUGGGUCAUCUUGAUUUAGUGAUGGAAGAUUCCUUGGUUGAGAAAUGAGAGAAGGGAAUAUUAAAACAAUAAAUUUCACUUACUGGAAUGCUUGGCCAAGAGACACCUGUUCCUGUGCAUUUUCAUCACUUGAAGUGGAUGCUGGUCUAGUAGAACUACUGCAGCACAUAGGCACUCUUGUGGACUGCAAGGUGGACUGCAAGUUUGCUAAAGGGAGAUCUCUGAGCAGUGAGAAGAACUACUGCAGUUUUUCCAUGUUUUACCAUGUGUUGUUCCACCUUCUUUCCUGAAGUUACAUGGUUUCCUACAUAAGGAGGAAAAGAUAUUGAAAGUAUGAACAUUUCCAACAUAUUCAUCUGAAACUGGGCUUCUGCACAAUAUUAA